rnacentral:rRNA from 1 species
CCUACGGGAGGCAGCAGUAGGGAAUCUUCCGCAAUGGACGAAAGUCUGACGGAGCGACGCCGCGUGAGCGAUGAAGGUCUUCGGAUUGUAAAGCUCUGUUGUUAGGGAAGAACAAGUACCGGAGUAACUGCCGGUACCUUGACGGUACCUACAGAGCG